CCGUGAACUUUUCAAAUAGCAUGAACUUUGAACUACUAUUUUAUAUAUACAACAUAUUUAAAACUUUUAAAAUGAAAUAUAUUAAAACAUGGAUUGUUAAAUUUAAAUCUGAACUUUAAUAAACAUGCAAUGUAGCAUUGGUUUCAUACUAUUUAAUAAUAAAAUCAAUGAGAUAUGUCACUUCAGAUGUCAUUUACAUCGUCGUCAUCAUCAUCAUCAUUGUCAUUUCCAUAUAUUUUGUUCAAUUUUAAGUGAUGUUUUUUGCUUUAGUACAAUUUAGUUGUAG